AAAUUUUUAUUGGCUGGUUGUGGUUAAUAAUUGUUUGGUAAUUAAAAUUAAUUUGUUAGUUUUCUAUGUUACAUGUAUUUGUUUUGCUUCAGUUCAGCAUUGUUUUCAAAUAGUUCCACUUUGUAAUGGUGUGUUAUAAUAGUCGUAAUAAUGAUAUAAGCAAACAGGUUUACAUGGCACUCGAAUGUGUACUGGUCUUUUCAACGAGUAUGUAAAGGUAAGUUUAUACUUCAAAAAGGUCUGUUUUUAACCUGACAAGCAUGCUGUCCAAAGUGAACUAAAACUCAAUCUUCGUGACCUUUCAAUGAAAUUUCAUAUGUUCAAACGACAACUGCUACUACUGUAUAUAUCUUUUGAUGUUUGUGUUUGGCUUACUGUUGAUACUAUAUAGAAUUAAGAUUCUAAGAUUAAGGAUUGUGUGGAAACUGUUUGUUCCUUGUGAGGACUUUGCGCAAAACUGUUUGUUUACUCUUGAGUUAGCAAAAUAUACCCUAAACUUAUUUCGUGUUUUUCAUUAUGCAAAACAAUAGAUCAGCUUUUUUCCAAAUGAAACGUUUGGUUUUGACCAAUUCAAAUAAAAGUGUAAAAAAUAAAAAAAUAUUUUAUGAACAAUUGAAAGUUUGGUCAACCCUAUUUUGUGUGUUUCUGUACAUGGUCGCUACAUGUUUUCCAUCAAAAAUAUUUCCUGAAGUGUUUUUUCAUAAGUGAAAUUUAGGAGAUGUUUGUUUUUAAAAUAAUGGAUCAAUGUCUAUCAUUUUAAUGUAUUUAUCAGGGAUGAGAAAUGUACCAUUUUCCUAAGCAAAGCAAAUUGAAAGUGAAUAUUUGGUCGAAAAGAUCAAUCAGAAAUGGAGAAAUAACAUUCUUUUUAAUUUGUUGAACUGCAUUUUCAUCACUUGAAUUAGUAUGAACAUUAUAUACAAACAAUUCAAAGUUGUCAGGUUAAAAACUAGAUAUAUGGCUCCGAAAGAUCGCGGAAUAAUUUCAAAUUCUUAAAUAUUUCUUGAUUUGGCACUUGAAAGAAAUAUUCUUAUAAAUGUUCAAUUGAGUAUGGAACCAAUGAUCUAGUCGUAAUGUUUCGAUGUUAAAAAUUUCAUUUCCGAGUUUAAUGAAGUAUGCUGUCAAUGCAUUGUCAAAAUGUUAAAUAAUUUGCUUCAAGCAAUGCCAAUGGAAUAUUUGUUGUCAAGCACAAUUUCAUGCCAACCACUUGACAACUGAUAUUGCAUUACAACGAAUGGAUUUCACUUAGCAUCUAAACAUCACGAUAAAAUCAUUAUUUUCCAUACUCAAGCGAAUAUUUUGGUCUGUUCAGUGUUCACCAAAAACAGUUAGUUUGUGUUAAAAAAAGCAUGUUCGACUUUUGUCUUUGAGCCAUAUAUUUUCUUUGUAAAACAACUUGGUGUUACGCUUUUGAUUUCUCAAUGUAAAGUUUAUCAUUGGAGUUGUUUUACAAUAUUUAUUUUGAAGUAUAAACAUUAAUCUUGAAAAGACCAGGUUCUCUUGUUUCCUCAAGAAUUAACUUUUUUAAUGUUAAUUCGCGGGCAAACAAGUUUUUUUAAUGUUGUGUUUUCACUUGUACUUAUUCACUUGUGUUUAACACAAUGUUAAUUGUUCUCUUUGUGCCAUGUUCUGUUUUCUUCUAUUGUUAUUAUUUAAAUAAGUAUGCAGUGGUUGUUCUCUUUUUAUUGGUAUUCAAUUUGUAAUUACAAUUCUUUUCAAUAAAUUGUCAUUAAUUAUACAAGAGACUCCUUUUUAAUUAAAAAUUCAAUUCCCAUGGGAAUUGAAAAAAAAAAUGAAAAAAAUUCUCCUUCCCCGGCCGGCUCCCCAAGUGCUACCUCCACUUCAAGCAGAAGUACUUCUACUAUAUACUGAGAAGUACUUCUACUUAAAGUAGAGGUAGCACUCGGAGAGCCAGCCGGGGUAGCGGGGCGAAGAGAAGACCAACCUAGCAAAUGCUAAAUAAUGCAAAUUGCUAAGUCGAUCUUCUCUUGAGAGCAGCCACGCGCAUACCUAGCAAAUGUAAAACAACAAGCAUUAGUAACAAAUACUCGGCAUGCAAAUUUUGAAUCCCAUGGCCGAAAUGACAAGUGCCCCCCACUGAUUCCUACCAACUGCCUACCUGCCUCAGUCCUAAGCUGUCUGCCUCGGUCCUAAGCUACCUGCAUUCCAUUCGUAACUUCCGCUUUCCUCACCAUCACACAGACACUCACAACUGCCCAACCUGCCACCAGCCCAAACUGCCCACCCUUAAAACUGAAGGAAUUAAAAUUUUGGUAAAGUAUACAUAAUUAAUUUAAUU